rnacentral:lncRNA from 1 species
GUCCCGCCUGGGGAGACUGCGCCCGGGAUAAUAGGAGCGCUUGGCCUCUGAGACUACCCGGCAGAAGGGACGUCCCCAAAUGACACUCGGAGGCCGCCUCCCUGGGCUCCGGUGCUCGGUGCCGGGAGGAGCGGCACGGCUUUCUACCCCGCCUCAGGUGCGCCAGCACGUUUUCUGGGCAGCAUCUGUGUGUUAGGCGACCGGAGAGGUGGGUUCCUUAUAGGGAAUAAGAAAACUGAAACUGACUUCCAACUGCAGGCAGAAGGAAGCAGUGGUCAUUGCUGGAGGUUAAAACUGUUCUGACCGGGCGCAGUGGCUCACGCCUGUAUUCCCAGCACUUUGGGAGGCUGAGGCGAGCAGAUCACGAAGUCAGGAGAUCAAGACCAUCCUGGCCAACAAGGUGAAACCCCGGCUCUACUAAAAAUACAAAAAUUAGCUGGGCGUGGUGGCGCGCGCCGGAAGUCCCAGCUACUUGGGAGGAUGAGGCAGAAGAAUCGCUUGAACCCGGGAGGCGGAGGUUGCGGUGAGCCGAGAUCGCGCCAUUGCACUCCAGCCUGGCGACUCAGCGAUACUCCGUCCCCCUCUCCCCGCCCCAAGAAAAAUCUGUUCAGUGGGGAGCGACAAGGAAGGAGCUUUCAGCCCGACUGGGGUCGCAGGGAAGAAUUCAAGAUGGCGUGUUUAGGAGCUCUAGCUCCUUGACAAAUUAGUAAAAUGUUAGUCUUAGGAGAAGAACGAAAAGGCUCUCCUAGGCUAAGAAACAGCAUACACAGUGAGAAACCUCAGAAGAAAUAAAAUUCAAGGAAGAUAGCAACAACGAAAACAUCAGAAGGAACACUAAAGUAGUCAAAUCAGCCUAGCAGAAACAAAGUACGUUAACCAAUGGAAAACUGACGGAGAGAAAUAAACUGUUUUUGCACAGCUAAAUGGAAAUGACUUUUGAAUUAUCUGCUUUGGAAGAUUAUCCAUGACACUGUUCUGCCCUGCUCUGCUCUAACAACAUUUGCUGGUGCCUCUGCCGAGAUCACCCUUUUAUUCCUUAUUUGGUAGACUCCUACUCAUCCUUCAAGACUCAGCUUUAAGAAAACUUUAUCUUCUUUAAGAAAACUUCCCUGGAACCUGAUAUUUCAUGUCCUGAUGGGUUCAACAUCUUUCCUCCGAGCUGCAACGUAUAGAUCUCUAGCAUUUGUCCCCAUGUAACUCUCUAUUUUUAUUAAUUAUAUUUAUAAUAAAAUUUUUCUUCAUUUUUAUCCCCUUAACUAGACUAUAAAGUUACUGAUUUUUCUUUUUUGUCUUUGCAUAUUCAAUGCUUAGUAUGGUAGCAAACUUGUUCAAUAAGUAUUGUUUAAAUAAAUGAAGAGAAG